ensembl:lncRNA
CCACAUGCACUGACAUCCAAUGAAAUCUGAAGGAUUAUUCAGGCCUAAAGGGGAUUGAGUCAGGGCAAAGCGCAUUCAAUUUAGUCAGCAGAUCUGGAGACCGGCCACCCCUUAUAGGACCACUGGAUACUGAAAGGUGCUUUAUCUGGCCUUACCUUUUAAGCUAAGAUUUAUAUUAUUGGGAAGUUGAUAUCUUUAAGGUUUCUUGGAAGAUUCCUUAAUGGAAUAUCAGGAUGAUGCUAAACACAGAAGUCUCAUGGAAUAAAGCUUUAACAGACAACAAUAUCAGAGGCCUCAUUGACUGCUUACGAGGCCUCUAUACUGAAGGUAAGAAUUCAAUGUCUUAAAUUCUACCUGUGCAUACUCUCAAUCCAACAUGGAUCACAAUGAUGUGACACAAAUAGUUUGAUGUGCUGUUUCUCUGUAGGUGAAGGGGAUGUGAGUGAACGUGUGGCCAGUUUUAACUGCUGGCUUGAGAGAUCAGCAGAACUGGCCAAGAAGGAGCUGUUAAUGCUCUGUGAGUAGGUGAAAUCUUAUUAAACACUGAGGUUUACAAUUUUAUUUAUUUAUUUAUUUUUUGUGGGGGGGGGGGGUAUUCAGAUAAAGCUCACCUGGCUCUUCUCUGAUUGUAGGUUCCGGUCGAUAUAAAGGCUUGUGGAUGUGUUUGGAUGAAAACUCUUUUGUUCUAGUCCAUAAACUGCUCCUCAAGCUGAAGAACCUGCUUUCUCUGGUCUACCUAAUACAGAAACACAGUAACAGCCUGCACUCUAAACAUGGAGGCAGGGCUUCAUAUAUCUGGGGAUGUUUGAAACAAGACCAUCAUGCAAUCUGGCAACACAUCCUAUUGGGCCGGCUGGUGCAGUGGUGGAGCAUCACAGGACUUCUGCCCAAUCACCCCCGGUGAGUUUUUCCUUUUCUUUCUGAUAAUUUCACUUUUGAAUGUUUAAAUCAAGUACAAAAGUACACUGUAAUUAAUUAUGUCCUCAUGUUUAUUUGUGUUUGUUUUGUGUCUUUUUCAGAAGCCCAUGAGAUGAAGAGGAUAUCUCAGAUGUGGUGUGAGAUGGACAAGAAACACAGGAGAACAUGUCUGGAGUUGAGGUAAUGACUACCAUUUCCACACUAACCUACAAAAUCAUGUAUUGUUAUUAACAUUUAAUAGAAAUUUGAAAUGUUAAUAACCAUUAUUCUCUCAUCAGCGGUUAUGCUGAGGAUACGUGCCGGUGGAGCUCCCUUAUUCAGGUUAUGGUGGCUCAUAUAGUUAAACAACAUGGGUCUGUAUGGGUUUCAGAAGAUUGUGCCUAUCAAACAUACCCACCACCAUCUCUAGAGGCUUUGCUAAAGCUAGUGGUGCUGCCUAAUAUUGACAUCCUGUCUGUCCAGGCCAUUGUAUCCUGCUUCUUUCUAUUUUAACAUUUAGUUAUUAUAGUAUAUUUAUUUUAAUAACUAUUUACUGUUUUACACUUAUUUUAUGUUGAAAUGUUAUUAAUUCAUGUACAGUGCAUUUCUGUUCCACAAUAAUAUAACAGUAUGGUUAACUAUAUUUGUAAAUAUUAUAAUUUUUUUUGUUUUGUAUGAUUAUUUUUUUCUGUUUAUGUUUAGCCGAAUAACGAUUAAAUAGCCUUUAAUACAACUGAAAUUCUUAGUAUAGUACUGUAUUUCAUAGUACUGAGUUUUAUAGUACUGAGUUUUAUUUAUUUAUUUAUUGGAAAAAAACAGUGCUGCAUUAAAAAUUACAAUGAAGACACAAUAAUUUAACAAGAAUAAAUAAAUAAGAUUGAGCAUAAGAGACUUCUUUCAAAGGGAUGAAAAGUCAUAUGACCCCAAAUAUUUGCAUUUGAAUGGUAAUGUGUGUGUGUGUGUGUGUGUGUGUACAUGCAUAUUAUAUAUUAUAUAAUGAUAUGCAUCAUUUAAUGUACAAAUCAUUUACAUUCUCAGCUUUGAGAGGAUAACUCU